AUGAUGAAAUUCUUCAGAGUUUUGCUAGCAAUCUUGUGGCUUCAAUUAAGCUGGGUGAGGAGCCAACAAAAGGAGGUGGAGCAGACUCUCAAAUCCCUCAGUGUUUCUGAGGGAGCCACGGCCUCUCUUAACUGCACUUAUACCAACACUGCUUCUCAGUUCUUCUUUUGGUACAGACAAUAUUCUGGGAAAGGCCCUGAGUUGCUGGUGUCCAUAUACUCCACUGGUGACAAAGAAGAAGGAAGGUUUACAGCACAGCUCAAUAAAGCCAGCCGAUAUGUUUCCCUGCUCAUCAGAGACUCCCAGCCCAGUGACUCAGCCACCUACCUCUGUGCAGUCAGCACACAGUGCUCCCCAGGCACCUGCAGCCUGCACCCAAACCUGCUGGGGCCUGAAACAGACCUUAGACUGCAGGGCAGAGAAGUUCUCUUUGCUCUCUAG